AAGGUCAGGGAGACUUGAUUUAGCUUAGUUUCACACUGCGUUUGAGAGAGUGAACUCUCUACAGUUACAAUAACAGCUUGUUCGCGAGUAGAGCUGAACUUAAUGAACAACAACCACAAAACCAUAAGUAUAAAGAACUAAAUCCAUCAAGACGGUAAUGUUUAUUAUUUAAUGAUUGAGCACCAACAACAGAGUUUUUUUUGCUACAAGCCAAGUUGGAUACAAAAACUGAACUUAAAAACAAAAAUCUAACCUCCAGCAAUUGUCUAUUUACAUAUUAGAUUAGAAUUUUUUGAUACGGCUCAAGAUUCUUAAGCCAAAAUGUUCAUCAAAUGUUUCUAACUUAAAUUGACAGGCAUAUGUUAUAUUUCCUGGUGCAUCUUGGAAGGAACUUUAGCUCUGGUGUUGACACUCUUUGAAUUAUCGUAACUCAUUGACUAUUUACAUAAUUGACGUAACUCCAAAGGAUUCUGAGGCUGAGAACACCCAGCCUUUCACUGAUAUGCAACAAAAGUGUUGCAUGUGCAAUCUGCAAAGCUCGUAAGCAUAAUCUUAUAAUCCACAUUUCAAACAGGAAAGCUUAGUUGUGUUUGUUCUAAAACUUUACGACACAGAAGUAACCUUUUCAAUUACAGCUUAAAAUAGUCUAUUGAAAAAAAGAGAAAAAAAAAACAUAUUGUCUUUUUCAGAGUGUUUUAAGAUGUUCAACCCACUUAAAAUAUGUGUUUACGUGUAUUUUCAUUAAAUCAGUUUUUUGUUUGUUUGUCAACUUGGAAAUUUGAAACAAUUAAAGAACUCUAAUAAGUAGUUCCUACCUGAAGAUUUUCCAAAUUUACGAAAUAUUAUGAUUAACAGUUAAUCAGAUUUGGUGGAAAACUGGUCAAUGCACAUGAGAGAUUAAAAAAAAUCUGUUUCAUUUUAUAUAAAGAGAUGCAUUCAACUCAUUGAUUGCAUUUCAGAGCAACGCACAAAAUCUGUCAUACAUUUGAUGUGGGGGCUAAAAGAAACCACAUUUUGUUUUGUGGCAUCUGAUUGGCCAGUUUAUAACUUGAAUAACUUUCAAUUAAAAAAAAAAAAUAAAAAAAAA